AAUAUUGGACAAUGGGCGAAAGCCUGACCGAGCAACGCCGCGUGAAGGACGAAGGCCUUCGGGUCGUAAACUUUUGUCUUUGGGGACGAUAAUGACGGUACCCAAGGAGGAAGCCCCGGCUAACUACGUGCCAGCAGCCGCGGUAAUACGUAGGGGGCGAGCGUUGUCCGGAAUUACUGGGCGUAAAGGGUGCGUAGGCGGCCUUUUAAUUCAGAUGUGAAAGACCACGGCUUAACCGGGGGACUGCAUUUGAAACUGGAGGGCUUGAGUAUCGGAGAGGGUAGUGGAAUUCCCAGUGUAGCGGUGGAAUGCGUAGAUAUUGGGAGGAACACCAGUGGCGAAGGCGACUACCUGGACGAAAACUGACGCUGAGGCACGAAAGCUAGGGGAGCAAAC
rnacentral:rRNA from 1 species